AAGACCUUGCGCUUUUGGAGCGGCCGAUGCCUGAUUAGCUUGUUGGUAAGGUAAAAGCUUACCAAGGCUUCGAUCAGUAGCUGGUCUGAGAGGACGACCAGCCACACUGGGACUGAGACACGGCCCAGACUCCUACGGGAGGCAGCAGUGGGGAAUUUUGGACAAUGGGGGCAACCCUGAUCCAGCCAUGCCGCGUGAGUGAAGAAGGCCUUCGGGUUGUAAAGCUCUUUCAGCCGGAACGAAACGGUUACGGAUAACACCCGUGACUACUGACGGUACCGGAAGAAGAAGCACCGGCUAACUACGUGCCAGCAGCCGCGGUAAUACGUAGGGUGCGAGCGUUAAUCGGAAUUACUGGGCGUAAAGCGUGCGCAGGUGGUUUUGUAAGUCAGAUGAGAGAGCCCCGGGCUCAACCUGGGAACU
rnacentral:rRNA from 1 species